GAUGAACGCUGGCGGCGUGCCUAAUACAUGCAAGUCGAGCGAACAGACGAGGAGCUUGCCCCUCUGACGUUAGCGGCGGACGGGUGAGUAACACGUGGAUAACCUACCUAUAAGACUGGGAUAACUUCGGGAAACCGGAGCUAAUACCGGAUAAUAUAUUGAACCGCAUGGUUCAGUAGUGAAAGACGGUUUUGCUGUCACUUAUAGAUGGAUCCGCGCCGCAUUAGCUAGUUGGUAAGGUAACGGCUUACCAAGGCAACGAUGCGUAGCCGACCUGAGAGGGUGACCGGCCACACUGGAACUGAGACACGGUCCAGACUCCUACGGGAGGCAGCAGUAGGGAAUCUUCCGCAAUGGGCGAAAGCCUGACGGAGCAACGCCGCGUGAGUGAUGAAGGUCUUCGGAUCGUAAAACUCUGUUAUUAGGGAAGAACAAAUGUGUAAGUAACUAUGCACGUCUUGACGGUACCUAAUCAGAAAGCCACGGCUAACUACGUG
rnacentral:rRNA from 1 species